rnacentral:lncRNA from 1 species
UAAGAGGGGCAACAUGGUAAAGUUACAUUAUCAAUCAUUAUUUUCUUAAUAGUUGUGUCAUUCCAAUUUGAGACGGAUAAAAUAGGACGGAGGGAAUAAAUAAAAAUAAUAACUAAUUAUUACCUAACUAACUAAUUUGGCCUAAAAUUUAACACGUGUCAUUUUCAUAGGUUGUCACUUGGAACAAUCUAAGCAAGACUUUCAGAUAUAGACUGGCUUAUUGUUAUUAAGAAAAUUACUUCAUCUGUCUAUUCAGACCACCGAUUCUUUUCUUAUGAUAGUUAGCAUCUAUCCAUACACUCAAAAUUUUGAAAGAAGGAGCUUUCAAUGAUAUCAUAAUCAGGCGUGACUGGUUGCUCCUUGCAGCCUGUGCACAGCGCCUUCUUAUGCUACAACAUAGUUUUACCAUAGCUUACAACGGUCAAAAGUUAAUCCUGUAAUGUGCCUGUGUCCUCUUGCACUUCUUGUCUGAAACAACAAAUAAUUCUAGCACUUUUUUCUUCUAACUCGUUCUAGUAGCUUGAAAGACGAGCAACUGACAAAACAGUGAAAAGUUGUGUAUCCACAAAAACCUGCAUAACAUGAAAGAGAAUAAAUCAAUGAGAUUAUACAUCAGCCUACUCGAAAGAAGAUGACCACAUAUCAAGGAGAAGGUUUGAUUAUCACAAGAAUGCGAAAGGAUGAGCAGAAAAGGCUAAAUAAGUACAACCCAUCAACAACAAUAUCGAUUGAUGGACUAAUAAUCUUGACUCAAAGAGGACUAGCCAGGGAAGAAGAGUAUUAUUCAAGAUCACUGCAACACCAACCCACCAAAAAGGGCUAACGAAUAAAAAAAACAUCAUAUAUGGGUAAGGUACACUGUUGUGAGCAUCUAUUUUGACUGCCACAUAAAUUAGGCCAAGGUAUUCAGCUUCCUAUACCACUUAACAAAUAUAUCAAAAUGCCUUCAAAAGGAGGGAUAUGGUUUAUCAGAAUCAGCAUUUCUACCUUACAAAGGUAGCGUAAGGUUCGCAUAUAUUCUAUUCUUUUCCAAACCUACUUUGUGGGAUUACAGUGUAAAAAAAUCAGCAGGAGUGAUAUGUCGUAUUGAGCAGGCCAAGUGUAAAUGAAAAGAAUUAAAUAACUACCACUUACCGAUAACAGAGAAAAUGUUUAC